AUUGAACGCUGGCGGCAGGCCUAACACAUGCAAGUCGAACGAGUGGCGGACGGGUGAGUAAUGUCUGGGAAACUGCCUGAUGGAGGGGGAUAACUACUGGAAACGGUAGCUAAUACCGCAUACCAUCAGAUGUGCCCAUAUGGGAUUAGCUUGUUGGUGGGGUAACGGCACACCAAGGCGACGAUCCCUAGCGGGUCUGAGAGGAUGACCAGCCACACUGGAACUGAGACACGGUCCAGACUCCUACGGGAGGCAGCAGUGGGGAAUAUUGGACAAUGGGCGCAAGCCUGAUGCAGCCAUGCCGCGUGUAUGAAGAAGGCCUUCGGGUUGUAAAGUACUUUCAGCGGGGAGGCGUUACCAACAGAAUAAGCACCGGCUAACUCCGUGCCAGCCGCCGCGGUAAUAC
rnacentral:rRNA from 1 species